AUAUAUGUAUAAUUGGAUGUGUGUGUAUGAUUAUAUUUGUGUUCCGAAUCAGAUUGAUUUUGAAUUUGUAGUCUAAUUGUAGUUGAAGUGGUAAAUGUGAGCUCGGGAUGUCUUAAUUCUCUUAUGUAAGCUGAGAUUUUUAUUUCGUGUUAGUAUAAAUGCGGAAUUGAUGUUCAAAUGGUAGAAAAUAAGUAGAUGAAGAAUUGAUACUACAGUUAGUGAGGUUGAGAGAGUUAUGUUAUCAGGUCAUUAAUAUACCUCCUGGCGUGGUGUGUUAAUUAAUGUCUAUGUUUAUGAUAUAAAGGCAAAUUUCAAGAUGCCCAUGGACUUGCGAAUCAAGUUUUAAUGAUAAUAAAUAGGGUAUUACACACUUGUCCAUAACUUGCACUUUGAAGAUACCAAAAUAAUAAAAGCCUUGCCUAUUUGUUGUCUUAUUUCUUGGACAGACAAGUGAGCUCUCAAAGUACAAAUUUUUCAUAAAGUUUUUCCUAAUUCUAUUGGAUAAUGAUACUUAGGAUUUGUUGGAUUAAAAGUCCGAAUCAUCUUCAAUUCCACUGGCUUCAGACCCAUGUUCAUCACUUUCAUUUGCUUCAGGCUCAUCUCCACCUUUGGAAUCAUCAUCUUGUCUUGUUUCUUCUUCUACUUUUGUUUCCCUCGGCAUGAAGACAUGAUCAAAUUUGAGCAGUAGCAUUUCAUGUAUCUUAGCAUUUCUUGUAUUUGUAAGAAUUCAACGCUUUUUUAAACUAUCAUGGAUAAGUACCCAAAUUUGGCCUCUUGUACAUGUUUUUUUCUUCACUGUUUUGAACUAUUAAAAGUUAAACAGGAAGGCAUGGAACUGUCAUUAUACUGUUGUAUCCCAAAACCGAAUUCUUUGGUCGGAACCCUAAAUCCAUGCUUAUUUCAGGAAUCGUAAGUUCAAUCGGUAGUCCACUGCCCCUGAUUUUGGUGCUCCAAAAUCCAAUUUUCCUCUUUCAUUGGGGAAGAAGAUGGGGAUUAGAAAUUUAGGAUGUCGUAUGAUGUUCAUAGAGGAAGCAUUUAGUACUAGACUCAAACCCACGUUAUCCUGAAUGAUUGGGCGUAGGUGACCGAUGUUUUUGAAAAGUUUGGAUGUCAGAAAUUAGGAUUAUAAUCUGCUUAACUCAUUUCUUUACUCAAAAGAUUUUUCAUUUUUCAUUAACAAACGAUAACCAGUAACUAUAUUACAAGGCAAAAUGGUCACUUGCAUUAGAUGUCCUUUCAGCUGAAGCACCACUUGAAGAUAUCCCAUUUGCAGUAGGGGAAAGCACUUCAGGUUGUUGAAUGCUACUAAUGUUUCCCUGUUUGAGUUGCUUAGUCUUCCCGAUAACCUUUCUCCUCGUCUGUCCAGAUGUAAUCCACGAAGAUAACCCCACAGCUCCAAGUAGCGGCAGCACAAUACGAUAAUCUUGUGUCAAUUCAAAAAGCAACAGACUCCUGCAAGACUAGCACCCAUUCCAACCUGAAAAUGGAAUCUCACCGAUUGUCAACUCCAUCCAGAUUUUGGGAUACCUUCAGAAUUUAGCAGACAAAUACCAGAAACCAUAUUCAGUAAAGGCAAAUCACAUUACCAGGAGCACGUAAAUACUCCGAGAUCACAUACUGAUGCCAUAGUCAAUUGCAGAAAUUAUUUAAAAUAAAAGAACCAUUUUUUGUUCACUAGGCACAUAAGUUUUUAUAUAUAUCAUUUUGAAGAAUCAACAGAUAAUUGAUAGUGUACCAGCAGGUGAGCGGAAGUCAUAGUAUGGGACCUUAAAGGCUGGUUCAGAACAAAGACCAGCUUCUGAAACUGCAGAAGCUAUCACAGCACUAAGUAUGACCAUAGAAGUGGUAUUCACAAGUGAAAUGGAUGAGGAAUUAGGUGGUGAUGGACUCCACGGGCAUACAUGUAUUGAUAAUGGCAGCAUAGAUAUACACAAAACUGAAUACCAACCAGAACCAACUCCAGCAGCCCCACCUAGCAAAAUUUCAGAUAAAAGCUCAAAACUUUGCAAUCAAGCAAGAAAAGGAAAAAUGGAGAAUUGAGUUAUGGAUAAAAAUCAAACAUACAGAGUAGUUGAAGAGGACGACGCCGAUUCGGGUGAGCAGACCCACCAAGCUCGACGACAGCACUAUCGUCCAGUUCCCUCGGCCACGGCCUUGUACUCUGUUUUCAUUUUCCCCUUCUUCUUGUUCUUCUGCUUUUUCAUCGUCAUCGUUUUGUUGUUUUUGUUGCUGGGUUUGUUGGUUUUGAGGGAGGGAGAAAGGAGGUCUGAGAGUCAGAUCUCUGCAAUCUUCAUCUUCCACUUCUUCUCCUUCUUCUUGUACCCAGCACUGGCAUUUUUGGUGUUGAUUGUUCUGGUUUGGGUGUUUGAUGUGGGAGAGAAUAGGAGGAGGGUUUUACCCGGCGGUGAUGAGGACGGAGGAGGUGGAGAGGCCAGGGGACAUAAAUGGAGGUGGAAGUGGGCGUUGGGGAAGCGCCGUAUGCAGCCCAGGCCUCCCAUUAGCUGCUACACCAGUUGAGCCAACUGUUCAGUCCAAUCACGACCAAGUAAUGGAUAAAUGUCUGACAAAAUAAUUAAGUAAUAUUCAUAUUAAUAUAAAAUAAUAUACCCUAAUUUCCUUUUCUUUUCGUAUUUACCAAAUCAAGAGUUAUCUUUUAAUGGUAACUUAUUAAAUAUAGUCCAAACGACACUUGGUAUAUCAGAUCGUGUUUUCGAUAUAUUGAAAAAUGCUCAACUUUAUUAUUUAUGUUGUAACACCAAAUAUUCAAUUAGAAUCCAAGUUAUGUCUGUAUUCAUAACCUACGGUUUAUGCACAUAUGAGCAACUAUUCUUAACAUUUGCAAAUAAGGUGGAACUAUUCAUGCUAAAAAAUAGUUAGGAGCACAUAAAUCGACAUGUACUUGAUAAAAUUCGAGAAAUUCGUCUCGGUGAUUGAGACAUUUGCUACAAUUGAGAACAAAAGAAGAUCUCACAAUGGAGUUGCACACUUCAAUCCAGAGUGGUCAACGACAUACACCAAACUAACAUAUACACUUAUAAAAAAAAAAAGGAAACUAGACAAGGUAGUAGCUCCAAUUAAGAAUGCAUUACAUUAUGUGUUAAUGUUUACUAAUUACAUCAAUUAUUAGGCCGGUCCUUUGAUUUUGAUCCGAAACAUAGUACUACUUCAAAGAUCCCCAAUGUUUUGUUUUAAGGAAAACUAACGAAAAGUUAAAAAAAACUUAAGUUUUAAUGAAAAAUGACAAAUAAAGGUGUAGUGAAUAGUACUAGGAAAAUAUAAAAAUGUGGUUUUUCGUUAAAAGCGAACAAUACCGGGAGUGUUUCGUUAAAACUUCCUUUAUUUAAUAGACCUUUCCAUGCACAUCAUGUAAUGCAAGAAGUUUUAGGGACUGAUUAAAUAGCGAAAAUGAGGCGAUCACAAAAAAGAUCAAUCAAAAUGCCUUAAUUGUACCAACUAAUGAAGUUAUUUAAAGGGUUUAUAAUCAUAUUUUAGAACACUAAUCAUUGAUCGUCUCUUUAAAGAAGAAGAGGACGUGAAACCGACAAAACGCGAACACAACACCGUUGUCGACAUAAGCUGCUUGUUGGCCGUGAUAAGAGUAGUUAAUCUAUAUGGGUGUGUAUACAUUAUUAAUUAGGUUUCCUAUUUAGACGGAUUUACAGAACGAUGCCUAAAUGUACAGCUGCGAAUUAUAAUAUGAUAAUAUAGCAUAUCAAAUAUCCGACAAACAAAUGGCUCUGAUUUAUAAAUUGUAGCUUCCUUCUCAAUCUCGCAUUAAUUUGUACCUUUCUAUAUGUGCAUGUUUUUGUUUCUCUACUUUGUACAAGUUGACAAAUCAAAAACAUAAACUUGCUAACCAACUCUGAUUUCUAAAUUGUAUUUGUUGUGGUAGUACCUAAUGGGCCGGGCUCAUGAGGACCAGUGGCAAUUUUGAAUAUCACACAAAUACAGUACCAUUUUUGUCACAAAAAAUGGAAACAAAAAAUCAAUUAACGACAAUCGUUUUUCUAACUCAAACUAUCGGCAUCUCUCAGUGUCUCCGUCGUCUUCUGAUUUUCCCCGAGAAGAAAGGUAACCUAAUUGAGUAAUGGAUAAAAAUCAAACAUACAUAGUACUACUUCUAAAUUGAUCCGAAACAUAGUACUACUUCUAAAUUGAUCCGAAACAUAGUACUACUUCAAAGAUCCCCAAUGUUUUAUUUAAUAGACCUUUUCACGCACAUCAUGUAAUGCAAGAAGUUUCAGGGAUUAGUUAAAUAGUGAAAAUGAGGCGAUCACAAAAGGGAUCAAUCAAAAUGCCUUAAUUGUACCAACUAAUGAAGUUAUUUAAACGGUUUAUAAUCAUAUUUUAGAACACUAAUCAUUGAUCGUCUCCUUAAAGAAGAAGAGGACGUGAAACCGACGAACGUGAACUCAACACCGUCGUGGACAUGAGCUGCUUGUUGGCCAUGAUAAGAGUAGUUAAUCUAUAUGGGUGUGUAUAGAUUAUCAAUUAUGUUUCCUCUUUAGACGGAUUUACAUAACGAUGCAUAUAUGUACAACUAUGAUUUACAGUAUGACAAUAUAACAUAUCAAAUAUCCGACAAACAAAUGACUCUGAUUUCUAAAUUACAGCUUCCUCCUCAAUCUCGCAUUAAUUUGUACCUUUCUAUAUGUGCACGUUUUUGUUUCCCCACUUUGUACAAGUUGACAAAUCGAAAACAUAAACUUGCUAACCAACUCUGAUUUCUAAAUUGUAUUUGUUGUGGUAGUACCUAAUGGGCCGGGCUCAUGAGGACCAGUGGCAAUUUUGAAAUAUCACAAUAAAUACAGUACCAUUUUGGUCACAAAAAAUAAAAACGAAAAAUCGAUUAACGACAAUCGUUUUUCUACCUCAAACUAUUGGCUCUCUCCGUCGCCUUCUGAUUUACCUCCUAAUCGGAUAAGAAAGGCAACCAAAUCCUGGUCCUCCGAAUUCGUGGUUUUCUGUUUCUUCCGGCACUCCUCACGCGUACGGCAGCCUGAGAGCGAGGCGCUCUCGAUUGAUUCCAUGGUCUGAUUCUCCGCGAAUCGCAAUCCGACCGUGGCGAUGGCGUCGAUGCAGAACCAAUCGGCGCAUGUGGAUCUCUUCGAUGCGUAUUUCCGAUGGGCCGAUUUAGACUGCGAUGGCCGGAUUAGUGGCAAUGAAGCCGUUGCUUUCUUCCAGGGCUCUGGUCUCCCCAAACAGGUCCUUGCGCAGGCUUUCAACCACAGCAACUGAUGCCUGGUCUUGGUGCUCGGCACAUGGCACCCCCAGCUGGAGGAAGGCCACUGAAGACAGUUGCUCCUUCUCAUGCUGAGGAAAAGCAGCAGGACAAUUAGCGGAAACCCAGAGUACCAGAAUUGGAGAAACAUCUUGUGGAUCAACUGAGUACAGAGGAGGUUAACUCACUGAACUCAAAGCUCAAAGAAGCAACUGAAGCUGAUAAAAAGGUACUUAGAACUUUAAUGUUUCCCCAAUUUUCUCAUCUUGAGCAGCAAAGUUAUGUGUGCAUGUUACUUCUUGGUAAGUGUCAAAUCGUAACAAAUAUCCCAGAGACUUGGGGAAAGAAAUCUUGGAUGCUAGAGAGAAAAUUGAAUAUUUCCGGUUCAAAAUGCAGUUCAGCCAUCGAACUUAUAAUAUAUCUUUUGUAUUUCAUUUCUUUUUGUAUGCAUCUCGCUUUUUCUUCAUUCUUUUCUUCCCUUAGCUUGUAGCACGACAUAUAAUUUUUCUCCUUAAUUUUGGAAUGUUCCUAGUCCUAUUGAAGCAAAGAGCCCUAUAGUUUUAUCGUUGUUACAAGUUUGAUGAUUGUAUUAUUAAACUGGGGCUGUGCCUUUCUUUUUUCAGCCUUAAUUUGCUGUAAUUUUUUACCCUCUCUAAUAAAAUUUGUUUCGCUGAUCA